rnacentral:rRNA from 1 species
ACAGAGGGUGCAAACGUUGUUCGGAAUUACUGGGCGUAAAGCGCGUGUAGGCGGUCUAGCAAGUCGGAUGUGAAAGCCCUUGGCUCAACUGAGGAAGUGCAUUCGAAACUGCGAGACUUGAGUCCCGGAGAGGAUGGUGGAAUUCUCGGUGUAGAGGUGAAAUUCGUAGAUAUCGAGAGGAACACCGGUGGCGAAGGCGGCCAUCUGGACGGUGACUGACGCUGAGACGCGAAAGCAUGGGGAGCAAACAG